GCGUUGGUGGUUCAGUGGUAGAAUUCUUGCCUUCCAUGCAGGAGACCUGGGUUUGAUUCUCGGCCAAUACA
rnacentral:tRNA from 1 species